rnacentral:rRNA from 1 species
UACGUAGGGUGCAGGCGUUAAUCGGAAUUACUGGGCGUAAAGCGUGCGCAGGCGGUUUCUUAAGUCAGAUGUGAAAGCCCCGGGCUUAACCUGGGAACUGCGUUUGAAACUGGGAGACUUGAGUGUGGCAGAGGGGGGGUGGAAUUCCACGGUGUAGCAGUGAAAUGCGUAGGAUAAUGUGGAGGAACACCGAUGGCGGAAGGCAGCCCCCUGGGUUAACACUGACGCUCGAUGCACGAAAGCGUGGGAGCAAACAGGA